UACCAGCACCCCGAGUGGUCGGGACGAUUAUUGGGCCUAAAGCAUCCGUAGCCGGUUCUACAAGUCUUCCGUUAAAUCCACCUGCUUAACAGAUGGGCUGCGGAGGAUACUAUGGAGCUAGGAGGCGGGAGAGGCAAGCGGUACUUAGUGGGUAGGGGUAAAAUCCGUUGAUCCACUGAAGACCACCAGUGGCGAAGGCGGCUUGCCAGAACGCGCUCGACGGUGAGGGAUGAAAGCUGGGGGAGCAAACCGG
rnacentral:rRNA from 1 species